rnacentral:tRNA from 1 species
CGUGGUGGUGGCCGAGGCCGGCGGCCGGGUGGUGUGCGCGUCCUGGAUCCGGUUCCACACCGGUACCGAAU